rnacentral:rRNA from 1 species
AUGAACGCUGGCGGCGUGCCUCAUCCAUGCCAGUCGAGCGAACAGACGAGGAGCUUGCUCCUUCGACGUUAGCGGCGGACGGGUGAGUAACACGUAGGUAACCUACCUAUAAGACUGGGAUAACUUCGGGAAACCGGAGCUAAUACCGGAUAAUAUUUCGAACCGCAUGGUUCGAUAGUGAAAGAUGGCUUUGCUAUCACUUAUAGAUGGACCUGCGCCGUAUUAGCUAGUUGGUAAGGUAACGGCUUACCAAGGCAACGAUACGUAGCCGACCUGAGAGGGUGAUCGGCCACACUGGAACUGAGACACGGUCCAGACUCCUACGGGAGGCAGCAGUAGGGAAUCUUCCGCAAUGGGCGAAAGCCUGACGGAGCAACGCCGCGUGAGUGAUGAAGGUCUUCGGAUCGUAAAACUCUGUUAUUAGGGAAGAACAAACGUGUAAGUAACUGUGCACGUCUUGACGGUACCUAAUCAGAAAGCCACGGCUAACUACGUG